GGUUAAGCGACUAAGCGUACACGGUGGAUGCCCUGGCAGUCAGAGGCGAUGAAGGACGUGCUAAUCUGCGAAAAGCGCCGGCGAGGUGAUAUGAACCUUUGACCCGGCGAUGUCCGAAUGGGGAAACCCAGUGUGAUUCGUCACACUAUCGUUAACUGAAUACAUAGGUUAACGAGGCGAACCGGGGGAACUGAAACAUCUAAGUACCCCGAGGAAAAGAAAUCAACCGAGAUUCCCCCAGUAGCGGCGAGCGAACGGGGAGCAGCCCAGAGUCUGAAUCAGCUUGUGUGUUAGUGGAAGCGUCUGGAAAGUCGCACGGUACAGGGUGACAGUCCCGUACACGAAAGCACACAGGUUGUGAACUCGAAGAGUAGGGCGGGACACGUGGUAUCCUGUCUGAAUAUGGGGGGACCAUCCUCCAAGGCUAAAUACUCCUGACUGACCGAUAGUGAACCAGUACCGUGAGGGAAAGGCGAAAAGAACCCCGGCGAGGGGAGUGAAAAAGAACCUGAAACCGUGUACGUACAAGCAGUGGGAGCACCUUCGUGGUGUGACUGCGUACCUUUUGUAUAAUGGGUCAGCGACUUAUAUUCUGUAGCAAGGUUAACCGUAUAGGGGAGCCGAAGGGAAACCGAGUCUUAACUGGGCGUUAAGUUGCAGGGUAUAGACCCGAAACCCGGUGAUCUAGCCAUGGGCAGGUUGAAGGUUGGGUAACACUAACUGGAGGACCGAACCGACUAAUGUUGAAAAAUUAGCGGAUGACUUGUGGCUGGGGGUGAAAGGCCAAUCAAACCGGGAGAUAGCUGGUUCUCCCCGAAAGCUAUUUAGGUAGCGCCUCGUGAACUCAUCUUCGGGGGUAGAGCACUGUUUCGGCUAGGGGGCCAUCCCGGCUUACCAACCCGAUGCAAACUACGAAUACCGAAGAAUGUUAUCACGGGAGACACACGGCGGGUGCUAACGUCCGUCGUGAAGAGGGAAACAACCCAGACCGCCAGCUAAGGUCCCAAAGUCAUGGUUAAGUGGGAAACGAUGUGGGAAGGCACAGACAGCCAGGAUGUUGGCUUAGAAGCAGCCAUCAUUUAAAGAAAGCGUAAUAGCUCACUGGUCGAGUCGGCCUGCGCGGAAGAUGUAACGGGGCUAAACCAUGCACCGAAGCUGCGGCAGCGAC
rnacentral:rRNA from 1 species